CUACGGGGUGCAGCAGUGGGGAAUACUGGACAAUGGGGGAAACCCUGAUCCAGCUAUGCCGCGUGAAUGAAGAAGGCCUUAGGGUUGUAAAGUUCUUUUAUAAGGGAAGAUAAUGACGGUACCUUAUGAAUAAGCACCGGCAAACUUCGUGCCAGCAGCCGCGGUAAUACGAAGGGUGCUAGCGUUGUUCGGAAUUACUGGGCGUAAAGCGCACGUAGGCGGUUAUAUAAGUUAGCGGUGAAAUCCCGGGGCUCAACCUCGGAACAGCCAUUAAUACUGUAUAGCUUGAGUGUAUGAGAGGAUGAUGGAAUAUCCAGUGUAGAGGUGAAAUUCGUAGAUAUUGGAUAGAACACCAGUGGCGAAGGCGAUCAUCUGGCGUACAACUGACGCUAAUGUGCGAAAGCGUGGGUAGCAAACAGGAUUAGAUACCCGCGUAGUC
rnacentral:rRNA from 1 species